CAAUAGCGUAUAUUAAAGUUGUUGCAGUUAAAAAGCUCGUAGUUGGAUUUCUGGUAGGAGUGACCGUGCCAGACUUGAUUGUCUGUGUAUUGUGUUGUCUCCAGCAAUCCUUGUGGAGAACUUUUCUUGCAUUAAUUUGUAGGGAUUGGGACCCGCAUCGUUUACUGUGAAAAAAUUAGAGUGUUUAAAGCAGGCAAUCGCUUGAAUACAUUAGCAUGGAAUAAUAAGAUAGGACUUUGGUACUAUUUUGUUGGUUUGUAUACCAAAUUAAUGAUCAACAGGAACAGUUUGAGGAUAUUCGUAUGAACAUGUCAGAGGUGAAAUUCUUGGAUUUUGAUCAGACGAACUACUGCGAAAGCAUUUAUCAAGGAUGUUUUCAUUAA
rnacentral:rRNA from 1 species